UGGGGAAUUUUGGACAAUGGGCGAAAGCCUGAUCCAGCAAUGCCGCGUGAGUGAAGAAGGCCUUCGGGUUGUAAAGCUCUUUUGUCAGGGAAGAAACGGUGAGAGCUAAUAUCUUUUGCUAAUGACGGUACCUGAAGAAUAAGCACCGGCUAACUACGUGCCAGCAGCCGCGGUAAUACGUAGGGUGCAAGCGUUAAUCGGAAUUACUGGGCGUAAAGCGUGCGCAGGCGGUUUUGUAAGUCUGAUGUGAAAUCCCCGGGCUCAACCUGGGAAUUGCAUUGGAGACUGCAAGGCUAGAAUCUGGCAGAGGGGGGUAGAAUUCCACGUGUAGCAGUGAAAUGCGUAGAUAUGUGGAGGAACACCGAUGGCGAAGGCAGCCCCCUGGGUCAAGAUUGACGCUCAUGCACGAAAGCGUGGGGAGCAAACAGGAUUAGAUACCCCCGUAGUCCCUGAGCGGGCUGGCAAGGCGCAU
rnacentral:rRNA from 1 species